GCAUGGGGAAACGGGUGAGUUCCUACGGCCUAGAUAUCGCAGCCAGGGCUAGACCGGUGUUUGUCUUAAGUCAGGACUUGCUUGGGCUGAGAAAAUACAUUUUGGCUAUUCCCCUACUUGGACAGAGGGUGGAAAUCCCAGGCACCGCGAAAUCGAAACUUGCUAGGACUAAGAAGCCAACGACGCGCGAAACCGUGGGGUCCUGCGACAGAGACGCCGGCGGCGCCGCCACAGGACUGCGUUCUGGAGGCCGAGCCGGAACCCGUGCGGCGGCGCUGGGAAGAGACUGUGCCCCUGCAGCUCCCCUGUCACCGGCUCCAAGGAGCGUCGGGCUCCCCCCGCCCAGCCCUGCAGCACCCAUCCGGCAACGCCAGACUCGGCGCAACGGGGGCAGCUGCGACUUUAAAUCUCUCAGAUCCGCGGCCUGAGGGCUGCCGCCACCGAGAAAUGGAGGCACAGAGCUGUGAACAAGAGACCACGGCUCGCCGAAAUGGCGGUGCCAGGAGCCUGAAAGGGAAUGCAGCCGGCGGGGUUGUCAAGGACAACAUUUGUUUUGGCGCAACCAGCGGUGCCGUCACCAAGAAACCGUCGACUCUGAGAAAAAAAGAGAAGUUCGGCUACCGAGAAACUCCGUGCAGCAAGUGCUGUGACAGCAAAACCGCCGGCUUCGCGCCGCUGGCGAAAGAGCCAACGGAAACGCCGGGUGCUGCGACCGCGAAGCCGGCACUAGAGGGCCUCGGAUGGAGAAAGCCCCGCACCGAGACGAGGAAACUGUGCACAGCACGACUAGCAGUUGACACAAACAGAAAAGUGUCUCGUCUGCUCUCUGGGAGAAAGCGUGGAUCAAAACCAGCAACUCAGUGGAGAGAACCCCGCAGCCACUGAAGAAGUUGCCCACGUGGCGGUGGGGCCAGAGAAACACCGCGAUUUCGACGACAGCCGUAGGGAUACCACAGAGAAACAUGCGCGGCCACAGAAGUACAUCCAGCUCCGCGCAAUCAGUGGUUCUGCGAUCCAGAAACCGCCAGCUGGGCUAGACUAGAAACUUCUAAAAAACUGUCGUCCCAUAGCAGCUUUCCUAACCACGACAGACAGUCGCCUUUAGAGAGCACCUAACGGUGCUGAGACCGGCCUGGGCCAGCAAAAGCGCAGAGCGGUGCCAGUGCCAAGAAACGCCCGACUUGGUGAAACCAACCUUGUGACCACCGAUUCCACUGGCUUCGCAGGACGCAACGGGCGAAGGCGCGGCGGAGAAACCGCAGGCUCCCUUCACCGAUUAUGCUGCGGGCUGGGGAUGGUGGGGGGCACCCGCGAAAUUGUGAAACCAGCGGCGCUGGGACCCAGCGAUCAGCUGCCCGUAGCAAAUGUCUGUGCAGUUGCAAAAGAUAAUUUUUGGCCGUGAGAAGGUUGCCGCCAGAGAGCGUCCGAUAACGCUGACAAAGGCGUGGCGUUGCCAGUGAGAAACAGCCGGCGCUGGGAAAGGAACGGUGCAGCGACCGACCAACUGCGCGCUCGGUGCCACCAAAGUGCUACUGGCUCUACCCACUCUGUCCCCCACGGGCUUAGGGAAGUCUGAUGUCUUUUUCUUUUCUUUUUUCCUCUGUCGCCUAGGCUGGUGCAGUGGUGUCAUCUUGGCUCAGUGCAGCCUCGACUUCCUGGGAUCCAGCGAUCCUCCCGCUUCAGCCUCUAGAGUAGCCGAGACCACAGGUCACCCCUCGCUGCCAGGCUCUCUUCCCGGUCCAGAGCCCACAGGAUCCUACAGGAGGGGCCAACAACUGCUUGCCUUUGAAACUUGAAACUCUCGGUCUAAGGUUCCUUAGGAGCGUAAAAGGCACAGCGUUUUCUGAUCGCAGCUUCAGGUCUCCC
ensembl:lncRNA ANXA2R-AS1 ANXA2R antisense RNA 1